rnacentral:lncRNA from 1 species
AUGUGUGUGGAGAGCGUCAACCGGGAGAUGUCGCCCCUGGUGGACAACAUCGCCCUGUGGAUGACUGAGUACCUGAACCGGCACCUGCACACCUGGAUCCAGGAUAACGGAGGCUGGAUGUGAGAACCACCCAAUUAGAAGAACAGACUCCCCCAGAAGACCAAGGUCAUGCCUUCUCCUCACUUGGUAACAUCUACCCAAAGAGGAAAACCAAUGGAGCCUAUUUCCCUGAAAAUCUUGGAUGUUUGUGAAAAGGUAAAUUGUAAGUUGACUUUCCAAAAGUCCGGCCAUUCCAAGCUGCAAUGUGAGCCACAUUCCCAGUGGGCAUGACCCAUUGUCUUGAAGAACACUCAUCUAUGGGUGUUUAUUUCAUCAGUGGCAGAAUUUGCAUUUGCUGCACGCUUUGUGUUCUAUUUCUAUAACUUGUGUAUGAUUUUGAGGUUUACUGGAAUUUUACUGUCUUACUUUUCACCAACUAGAAUUCACAUUUUGGGUCUUCUCUGCUGGAUAAACGUGAAUCUACAGUAUCUAUAUAAAGCAUAGAAGAAUUGAUUCUUAGCUAUGGAUUCCUGUGCUCUGACUUUAGUUGAAGUGAUUAAUGCCUGUAUCUUUGAAGAACAUGUGUGAGCAUAUUUUUUUUUUUCUGGUAUUGUGCUAGGUAGAGCCUUCAUUAUGUCACCAUAAAUUUCUUUUUGGGUGUAUGAUUCUUUGGGGGUGGGGUACAGGUCCUAAGACUGAAGAAGUGUAAUUGAAGUCUAUACUUUAUAUAUCUAAAAUUAUUAAUUUAUGAAAAACCAAGAAAAGGAAUAAUUUUUGUCUGAAGUUUUUGCAGACUUUUUGUUUUAAUCUAAACAAUUGUCUUUGAAAAAGGAUGCAGUUCAGUGAGAAUUGCAUCCUUUAUUAGGAGGAUUAUAGGGAGAAUUACUAAUGCUAUUAUUUUAUGGAAACUAACAGGAGCAAAAAGCCUAGCAGUUACUAUAAGUGGAUUGGAUUUCAAGAUGCACAUUACAUAUUUUACUACAGUUUACAAAGUGUGCUAAUAUUAAGGGGCCAAAAAGAGAAAAGGCCAAGAAAAGUAGAUGACUGACAUGAACAUCUGAUCCUACUUGACCAAAGUUGACAAAAUAUUGAUGCCACUGUUCAGUGUUUAAAAGUAAACAUCCCCAUUUCAUCUCUAAAAUUUAAAUGCUUUUUGUGAGUUGUUUGUUUUUUGAGAUCCCAUACUACCAGAUCUUUAGUAAUUCUGGAAGAAUGCAGUAAACGGUGAAAAGAAUAUUUUUGUAAAAUGUUUGGUUAAGUAGGUGGUUUUAUUUUUAACCACCAUAACCAAAGAGGUAGGGACUUCCAGACGCCAAAGGGAUCAUUUUAAGACCAAAGUAAAGCUAAUUUAACAGUUUUAUUCUUUCAUAUUUUUUGUGAAAAAAUGUUAAACCAUUUUUCUUCCUAGCUGAAAGAAGUCCAAGGUGGUAACUGUCACAUGUUAAGUAAUUUAAUCAAAAGAUGGGAAGCAGAGACCUAUGUUUAUGAUAGAAAUUAAGAUAUAAUCUUGAUCUUCAUUGUUGAGCUGUGGUAUAUUAACAUCUCGUACAGUUGAAUUUUCUUUUUGAGUGAAGACUCACUUUUUCCUCCUUUCAAAAUAGAGUUUUCUUAGUAGAGCCUGUCUUUGUGGUCAACAGGUAUCUGAGGUUGAUAAAUGUAGAGGCUACAUUUUAUGAUGCCAAACCACAUGACAUACCAUAGAACAUGAUAAACUUUUUUUUUUGACAAAACCUCUUAUAGUAAGAAUAAAUCAUAUAGAAGUACAAAUAGCUGAUGUUGAAAUAUGUAGUUUUCAGAACAACACAUAGAUGGAUGACUAGGUAGGAAAACAAAGGACUUUGGCCAAAAAGUAUAUAUACAUGUAUAUAUAUCAGGAAGUACAAUCAUAAAUGGAUACUUUGGAAUAAAAGUAACAGCAUUUGGGAGUCUGAUUUACUUAUCCUUUCAGAGGUGCAUUAUUAAUCUAAAUUUUUAUUUUAAGCAUUUGGCAUAUAGACAAAAUUUCCUCCAGAUUUAUACCAAUCAGCUAUGUUUCAUCUUACAGUACAGAGGACUCAAUAAGGAUGGUGAAGCUUCAGAAGAGAGCUAGCACAUUCUUUUGUCAUGGGACGAUGACUCUGACUCAGUGGAUCAGCUCAUCUACUGAAUCUGUACUAAUGGGGGCUUUAGACUUGAAGUCAUAUUUUUUCUUUGCUGCUGAAGAAUAGUUUGCAUUCCACGUUCCAUAACUUGGAGAAAGCAGGGCCUUGGACUGAUAGGGGUCUGAAAGAUGGUCCCAGAAGCCUACAAAUUAAGUAAAGACUAAAGACAAAAUUGGAUGUAGAGUGGAGUGGGGCUUUAUUCCUCAGUCUGAAGAAGGCAUCCAGAGGGAGACAGGACAGCAGAGCAUCGAGAUGGCAGCAGCAUUAGGAGAUGUCUAAGAUCCUACUCUUCCAAGUGUGGUUCACAGACCAGCAGCCUAGACAUCACUUGGGAACUUCUUAGAGAUGCAGGGUCUCAGGUCCUACCCCAGAGCUUCUGAGUCAGAAUCUGUGGUUUCCACAUCUACAGGUGUGUGUAUACACAUAAAAGUGAGAAAUGCUGGCCACCAUCACCAACCGUUGAAUCCUGUGCAUGUCUUUUAGGAAAAAUGACAAUCUGGGAUAGAUCCUGUAAGUGUCCCUUUCCAGUGGCCUCACGGGUCCAUAGCAUUACAUAGAAUACUGCGUAUUUCCUAGGUGUCCACAAGAGUGUUCUGACCCUUGAAAGAAAUAGACUGGAAUGAAAGAGAGAUAGGAAAGAAAUGAUUAUAUGCCCUGUCCCCUCAAGAAUGUUUUUCAUGGUAGCUUUGCAAUCUGUAUUGGCCUUACUGACCCCAUUAAAGGAAGACAGCUUUUCUGUUCCAGUUAAAAGACAGGAACUUUUACUCUUUCUAUAGCUCCAUUAGGUAUUUGAUUCUCUUGUAACACAGUUCAAAUUCUAUAGAAGAGUUUAGAACUUCUUCAUGACCAAGGGGCUCUUGCAAGUGGUGGGUUGAGAUUUGGGUGAGAUGAUGGUGCCUGAAUAUUGAUAGCAUCCUCCAAACUGAGAAAUGUGACCAACAUUUUUGCUUCAUGUCUUAGAAGAGAGAUGUCUGAUGAUUGCAAGAAUGAGAUGCCUUAAAUAGGCAGUUGGCUUCAUUCUGUUGAUGAGAUGGUGCUGUGACUUUUUGUGUGUGUUUAUCUUUUGGUCUUUGUGGUUUAGGAAGACAGGAACUUACUUCUCCACAUCCAGUAGAGGUUAGCUUCCUUUUUAUUAGUUGGUCAGCAAGCAGUUUCUCGUUUCUGUGUGUUGUCUACAUCCACCCAAAAGUGUGAUUAACUGGAAGGUAAUACCAUUCUUGGGCCAGUGUGCAUCAUUUUUCUAGUGGCUGAGUAUCAGCUGCUUAUGGCCAAUUAUGGCCGCAAAAUGACAGGAUUAAAAAUAGCUUGAAGAUGAUCCAGUCUUCGAUAAUAUAUUUAAUGAUGAACUUUCCUUGGGAAAGUGCAUCUUUCUGCCUGCUAAGAAUCACAUGGCCCCUUUCAAUAAUUUAUUUUGUGGAAAAUACACGUUAUUGCUUUUGCAGUCAUGUGCUGUUGAGUGAUUACAUUUGGGGACUUUUGUAAAAUGUUAUAGUUCACUCAGUUCUCUUUUCUGUUUUAGGGCAUUUGUUCUAUUUAGUAUCGGUCGAAAACAUGUCUUUCUUCUGCGCAUCCUGUUACUUGUAGCUGUGCUUUCUAGUGAGAACUGAUUGAUCUUUUUAGUAAUCCUUGAUUGACCUGGAACAUUUCAGAUUGUUCAAAUGUCAUUAGGCCACACAGUGCACCAGGUAACAGAAAGCCACAGAUUUUUUUUUUUUUUUUAAGCCAAAUCUCUUUGAGUUUCUCUUUAUCUCUACUCCCAGUCCUAGUCAGCUUUUUGGAGGAAUGAUAAACCCACUCGUGAAGCAGGCAUGUGGGUGCUAUGUGUAUUAAUAGCAGUGUCUCCCACUCAGAGCACCCCCACACCCACUUCCGAGGGCACCCAUUGUGUCUUCACAAGAGUUUAGCAAAGCGGUAUUUCAGCAGAAGUGUAUUUGUGCUAGAAAAACAACACUGUCUUUGUAGUAUGCAAGUAAAAAGGCUUUUUUUUCCCCCCUCAGAGAUAUAUUGUAUUUGAGGUUCAAAGGUUCUGUUAAACCUUUUUAAAGUAAUCUAAUAUCACCUUAUUCAGGUAUAGCGGUAACCUUGCGAGCUGGUCACCCUUUCCCCCAGCUAUACACAGGAGACCACUCAGAGAACUGACUCCGCUACGAAGCUUCUUUUUCAUUCCUCUUGGUUUGAUUCAAACCAAAUCAGUGCUUGACCUCACAACAGGAU